UCUUGAAAGGUAUUUCCUCGAGAGGAGCAAGAUGACCAAGGGUACCACGUCGAUGGGUCAGCGCCACGGGCGCACGCACAUCCUGUGCCGCCGCUGUGGCCGCAACUCCUACCACGUCCAGUGGGAGCGCUGUGCCGCCUGCGCUUACCCGCGCGCUAGCCGCCGUCGCUACAACUGGUCCGUGAAGGCCAUCAAGCGUCGCCGCACCGGCACCGGCCGCUGCCGCUACCUGAAGGUGGUGAACCGCCGCAUUGCCAACCACUUCAAGACCCCCAAGGCAUAAGUGGCGACGCAGGCCCACGCGCCCCCCCUCGUUGUGAGAGCGGAAGUCGAAAGGAAGGCGAAAAAUGAAAGAAAAAAUGGGCGCGAUGCCCUUUUCCUUCUAGUGGAGUGGCAAGGCGCAGCAGAGGAGAAGCAGAGAGACGAUGCUCGCAGGUAAGCCCACACUCGGACACGGAGACGCACAGCACCGCGCCUCAGUGUCUCUCAGUCUAAAGACAGAGGAGGUAGUGAGGGCUGCCGAGUCGCAUGUGGCACCACGGAUGUGGUUGUGUACGCACGCAUGUACGCAUGUGUGUGUGUGCAAACCCGAAUGCGUGCGAGAAUGUCUGUCUCGCGUCGUCCUCUUCGCUCUUCCCACGCCUCUCUUUUCUUCACCUCCGAGGCGCCUUGCCGCUCGGUGCGACGUGCUGCACGUGGACCACUCGCAAGACAGCGCCGUUUCCGUGCUUCGUUUUUCUUCCUUCUUCCUUUCCGACCUUUUGAGUGCUUUUAUGUUCUAAUUUUAACACGAACACAAACGAACACACACACACACACACACAACAGAAGGCACGGACGCGGCAGCUGAAGCAAGUGUAGGGAGAGGGGGAGCCGGUAUUGGUCGCGUGCCCUCUCCCUUUCAGUUGCUCUCUGCCGCAUACGCACCCACGGCCACGCCUGCGCACCUUUUAGGGACAUGAGCACCCUCGGCAGCGCGCGUGCAGAAAGUUGCCUCGCAACGCUGUGGUGCAUGGGUCGGUGGGUAGGUUGGGACGCUGAAAGCUUCGCAUCAGUGGGCGCCACGGGCGCUCUACCCUCCUUGGCCUACCCUCCCGUCUUGCCUCUACUGGAAGUUAAGGUAGCUUACAGAGCGAGUAGCGCGUUGCUUCCGUGAGUGCUGUGCGGUGGCCAUCCUGCGGAUCCUGCACCACAGUGGUGCCCGCGAGGCUGUGCGCAAGCUCCGUUGGCUCCACUACAUGCUUGCUUUAUGAGAUACAUCGCUGUGCGGCUCUCUCGUUCUAUCACCAUUUCGUCUCUUUUCUUCCAAUGGCGGACUCCUCCUCGCCCUGCACCCCCGCCCUCAUGCACGCGUGCUCGAACCGAAG
rnacentral:misc_RNA from 1 species